UACAGAGGUCUCAAGCGUUGUUCGGAUUCAUUGGGCGUAAAGGGUGCGUAGGCGGCGCGGUAAGUCGGGUGUGAAAUCUCGGAGCUUAACUCCGAAACUGCAUUCGAUACUGCGGUGCUUGAGGACUGGAGAGGAGACUGGAAUUUACGGUGUAGCAGUGAAAUGCGUAGAGAUCGUAAGGAAGACCAGUGGCGAAGGCAAUCCCCUGGGCCUGCACUGACGCUCAUGCACGAAAGCGUGGGGAGCAAACAGG
rnacentral:rRNA from 1 species